AUUGAACGCUGGCGGCAUGCCUUACACAUGCAAGUCGAACGGUAACGGGCCUUCGGGUGCCGACGAGUGGCGAACGGGUGAGUAAUGUAUCGGAACGUACCUUUCAGUGGGGGAUAACGUAGCGAAAGUUACGCUAAUACCGCAUAUUCUGUGAGCAGGAAAGCAGGGGAUCGCAAGACCUUGCGCUGAUUGAGCGGCCGAUAUCAGAUUAGCUAGUUGGUGAGGUAAAGGCUCACCAAGGCGACGAUCUGUAGCGGGUCUGAGAGGAUGAUCCGCCACACUGGAACUGAGACACGGUCCAGACUCCUACGGGAGGCAGCAGUGGGGAAUUUGGACAAUGGGGGCAACCCUGAUCCAGCCAUGCCGCGUGAGUGAAGAAGGCCUUCGGGUUGUAAAGCUCUUUCGGCCGGGAGAAUCGUAUGGUUAAUACCCUGUGCGGAUGACGGUACCGGCAUAAGAAGCACCGGCUAACUACGUGCCAGCCGCCGCGGUAACACCCCG
rnacentral:rRNA from 1 species